AUAAAACAAAUAACCAUAGCAUAAAAUUACUUUUACAGUGACACGUGGGCCCACAUCUAACCAAAAUGCAUCGAAAGCUGAAAACCUACAGUUUUUGCCGAUUCAAGUCCAAAUGAAGGUCCUUGUCAAAGUCAGCUAACUAUGAAAUUCCCUAGGCCUGAAAUGUGAGGAAAGGAGGGUGGUGAGAUUAUAAAAUCCCAGUGAGUAAAUAAUUACCAUCAAAAGCAUCUAAAGUCGAGUAGAUGGAGAUAAUAUAAAAACGUUAUAUCUCAAUAAUGUUCAUAACGCAAAAUUUGUAUGGAUCUAUACCAAACAAUUUCUUUUCGUUAAAAUUUCUCGGCUUAUGAGUUUCUUAAACUUGGCCCCUGCUAGAAUCAUUCUCGCGGGUACCUUCGUCAAGGCAUCCCACUGAGACCGCCAAGGCUGUUAAAUGUCCCAUACCUAUAAAUAUGUUUUCGCAUCUGACACACAACCGUUCCUUGGAGUUGGUUGAGUCUCACACUCAUGUGGUGGCCCGAACGUGAGGUGUACUCAAAUCUUAACUCAGGAGAUUCGUCAUCCAACAUCUCCCCCUAGAGGUAAAUAUAUGAUUGGGUUACCGUGCCCCUCUCAUAGGCAGUCCACGGAAACUCCCACCACUGCAGUGACCAUUUAAUAUACCACCAAACCCAUAAAAUUUUCAGUAGUAUAAUAUGGCGAAUAAAAUGUAAUCCAGUCUACCGAUACCAAUCCAAAACUGUUCAUAUAUUUCAUGUCAACCCCAAAAAUUUAGCCAUCAUGCUACCAUAGUGUCAUAAGCCACAAUUUCAAUAAUAUAUAAAAUUAUAAAUUUGAACACAGUCUCCAUAUACUCAAUUUUUCCAAAACAAUAUUUGAUUUCAAAACCAGUAUAAAUCUCAUUUUUAUUAAAAAAAUAUUUUAAUUGGAAAACAUAAUAUUUUAUAAUUUAAACUCACCAUUCAAUAAAACCAUCAAACAAAUAUAAUUACUCUAGAUAUUUAAGUCGAUAAAUUGUCCACUCACAGUUCUAGGCGUUGAUGUACUCCUAAUCCCAGUCUUCAAGCACAAUCUCUGUACUUUUACCAGUGUAAUUUGCUCACCACCUAUCCACAAUAUACAAUACAUAAUUCACCACAUUAAUGCUUGACCAUUAUAAAAUCAAUUCAGGCUCGGUGUAUAUGCAUGAUAUGAUAUGCAACUUAUCCGACUACCGCUUAAAUGUGGUGCUGAC
rnacentral:lncRNA from 1 species